UGCGGGGUAGCGUAAUUGGCAACGCACCUGACUCUGGAUCAGGGGACUCUAGGUUCGAGCCCUAGCCCCGCAGCCA
rnacentral:tRNA from 1 species